rnacentral:rRNA from 1 species
UACGUAGGGUGCGAGCGUUGUCCGGAAUUAUUGGGCGUAAAGAGCUCGUAGGCGGUCUGUCGCGUCGAAUGUGAAAACCCGGGGCUCAACUCCGGGCUUGCAUUCGAUACGGGCAGGCUAGAGUUCGGUAGGGGAGUCUGGAAUUCCUGGUGUAGCGGUGAAAUGCGCAGAUAUCAGGAGGAACACCGAUGGCGAAGGCAGAUCUCUGGGCCGUAACUGACGCUGAGGAGCGAAAGCAUGGGUAGCGAACAGG